CGUUGACCUCAGAUCAGGCAAGGCUACCCGCUGAAUUUAAGCAUAUUAAUAAGCGGAGGAAAGGAUACUAACAAGGAUUCCCCUAGUAAUGGCGAAUGAAGCGGGAACAGCUCAAAUUUAUAAUCUCCGUUGCUUGCAACGGCGAAUUGUAGUUUCGAGAAGCACUUUCUCGGCGGAUCCGAGGUCGUCCAAGUUGCUUGGAACAGCACGUCGUAGAGGGUGAAAACCCCGUCUGCGGCGACCUCGGCCGUUCACGAUGUGCUUUCGAUGAGUCGGGUUGUUUGGGAAUGCAGCCCAAAAUGGGUGGUAAACUCCAUCUAAAGCUAAAUAUUGGCACGAGACCGAUAGCGAACAAGUACCGUGAGGGAAAGAUGAAAAGCACUUUGAAAAGAGAGUUAAAAAGUACGUGAAACCGUUAAAAGGGAAACGAAUGGGGUUAGCAAUGCGUCGUGCGAGAUUCAGCCGGUGGGUGGGCCAGGCGGGCGGUUGGCGGAUCUGAAAGGACCGCUGCCGUUCGGGUUGGUUUCCCGACCGUCGCACUUCUCGCAGGCGCGCGCCAACGUCGGUUAGGGCUGGGUCUCAAAGGCGGUGGAAAGGUAGGUUUGGACUCUCGGGCCCGAACUGUUACAGUCCUCCGUUUGUCAUGGCCCGGACCUGACCGAGGAGCUUGCGGUGCAUGCCGUUCGGCUAGGGUCCCGUCUUUCCGGUCGGUCGUCGAAUGCGGUGGACUGCGUGCAGUGCGCCGCGACUGCUGCCGGUCGCGAGGGCGGUGAUUUCGUACUAUGCACCCACGACGUUGGCGGUCAUAUGGCCUCAUCCGACCCGUCUUGAAACACGGACCAAGGAGUCUAACAUGUGUGCGAGUCUUUGAGUGAUCGAAACUCCGAGGCGUAAUGAAAGUGAAGGCGACUCCGGUCGCUGAGGUGAGAGCCUUUUACAAAAAAAGGCGCAUCAUUGACCGACCUAUUCUACUCUUAGAAAGGUUUGAGUAAGAGCGCAUCUGUUGGGACCCGAAAGAUGGUGAACUAUGCCUGAAUAGGGUGAAGCCAGAGGAAACUCUGGUGGAGGCUCGUAGCGAUUCUGACGUGCAAAUCGAUCGUCAAAUUUGGGUAUAGUGGCGAAAGACUAAUCGAACUGUCUAGUAGCUGGUUCCCUCCGAAGUUUCCCUCAGGAUAGCUGGAACUUACGGCAGUUUUAUCAGGUAAAGCGAAUGAUUAGAGGUCUUAGGGUUAAAACAACCUUAACCUAUUCUCAAACUUUUAAAUGGUAAGAAGUCCGACUUGCUUAAUUGAAGCCGGACAGUGAAUGCGACUUCCUAGUGGGCCAUUUUUGGUAAGCAGAACUGGCGAUGCGGGAUGAACCGAACGCGCGGUUAAGGUGCCAAAGUCGACGCUCAUCAGACCCCACAAAAGGUGUUGGUUGCUCUAGACAGCAGGACGGUGGCCAUGGAAGUUGGAAUCCGCUAAGGAGUGUGUAACAACCCACCUGCCGAAGCAACUAGCCCUGAAAAUGGAUGGCGCUCAAGCGUCGCACCUAUACCGUCCCGUCGGAGCAGAUGCGAAGCUCCGACGAGUAGGAGGGCGUGGGGGUCGUGACGCAGCCUCUGGCGCGAGCCUGGGUGAAACGGCCUCCAGUGCAGAUCUUGGUGGUAGUAGCAAAUAUUCAAAUGAGAGCUUUGAAGACCGAAGUGGAGAACGGUUCCAUGUGAACAGCAGUUGGACAUGCGUUAGUCGAUCCUAAGAGAUAGGGAAAUUCCGUUUGCAAGCGCCCGAUCUUGGGCCGCCUAUCGAAAGGGAAUCGGGUUAAUAUUCCCGAACCGGGACGCGGAUAUUGCCGUUCGCGGCAGAUGCGGUAACGCAAACGAACCCGAAGACGCUGGCGGGGGCCCUGGGAAGAGUUCUCUUUUCUUUUUAACGAGCUUUCACCCUGAAAUCAGCUUGCCUGGAGACAGGGUUUAAUGCUCGGUAAAGCACCACACUUCUUGUGGUGUCCGGUGCGCUCUCGACGGCCCUUGAAAAUUCGGGGAAGACAUUGAUUUUCGUGUCCGGUCGUACUCAUAACCGCAGCAGGUCUCCAAGGUGAGCAGCCUCUGGUUGAUAGAACAAUGUAGGUAAGGGAAGUCGGCAAAAUAGAUCCGUAACUUCGGGAAAAGGAUUGGCUCUAAGGGUUGGGUCUGUCGGGCUGAGACUUGAAGCCAGUGGACCCGGCCCGGACUGGCCGAGGCCCUUCAGGGGGUCGAAGCUGGACCGGGAAGGGGCUGUUGGUGGAUUGGCCCAGCUAUGGUCGCGAGGCCAAUUCGGCAGGCAAUGAACAACCAACUUAGAACUGGCAGUGACUAGAGGAAUCCGACUGUUUAAUUAAAACAAAGCAUUGCGAUGGCCGGAAACGGUGUUGACGCAAUGUGAUUUCUGCCCAGUGCUCUGAAUGUCAAAGUGAAGAAAUUCAACCAAGCGCGGGUAAACGGCGGGAGUAACUAUGACUCUCUUAAGGGAGGGAGACGGUGCACUAUGUGCACCGGAAGCCAACAAGAUCGGCGCUCCUGGACCGAGGAACAGUGCCUCCUCGUGGCGAGAGUCGUGAGUAGGUUGCCUUGGCAACCGAAACUAAAUCUGUUCCAGCGGCUUCAGGCGACGAGCGUGGUGGAGAGCUGUACCUUACUGUAACCAGUUCUUCAAAUACCUCUGCUCCGAGCGUACCAGCCGGAGAUCAAUUUGCAUACGGCGAGUGAGACCCGUGUAGAAGCAGUGAAGGUGCCAUAACUGCCUGGCAGGGUGCCGGAUGGUGUGGAGCGGGGAAGAUGUUCUGACGAGACCGGCCUUUUGGGCUGAUCUCUGACGUCCGUCGCUCAUGGAGCCAGCGAGCGUCACAAUUGCCGCCCUUACGGGCUUCGCGACUGGUUAGAUUAAUGGCUUAGUCGCGUGGACCAUGGGCUCUCUUGGGAGGUUCUAGGCCCAAUGGCUGAACUUUCCCCCUAGGGUUGACGAGAGAAAGGUUGAUUAACUCUGGUAAAAUGAGCAACUACCAGAGGG
rnacentral:rRNA from 1 species